rnacentral:rRNA from 1 species
UCGACCGCCUGGGGAGUACGGCCGCAAGGUUAAAACUCAAAUGAAUUGACGGGGGCCCGCACAAGCGGUGGAGCAUGUGGUUUAAUUCGAUGCAACGCGAAGAACCUUACCUACUCUUGACAUCCAGCGAAUCCUUUAGAGAUAGAGGAGUGCCUUCGGGAACGCUGAGACAGGUGCUGCAUGGCUGUCGUCAGCUCGUGUUGUGAAAUGUUGGGUUAAGUCCCGCAACGAGCGCAACCCUUAUCCUUUGUUGCCAGCACGUGAUGGUGGGAACUCAAAGGAGACUGCCGGUGAUAAACCGGAGGAAGGUGGGGAUGACGUCAAGUCAUCAUGGCCCUUACGAGUAGGGCUACACACGUGCUACAAUGGCAGAUACAAGGAGAAGCGACCUCGCGAGAGCAAGCGGAACUCAUAAAGUCUGUCGUAGUCCGGAUUGGAGUCUGCAACUCGACUCCNUGAAGUCGGAAUCGCUAGUAAUCGUAGAUCAGAAUGCUACGGUGAA